AGAGCGAACGCUGGCGGCAGGCCUAAUACAUGCAAGUCGAACGGAUCCUUCGGGAUUAGUGGCGGACGGGUGAGUAACACGUGGGAACGUACCCUUUGGUUCGGAACAACUCAGGGAAACUUGAGCUAAUACCGAAUGUGCCCUUCGGGGAAAAGAUUUAUCGCCAUUGGAGCGGCCCGCGUCUGAUUAGCUAGUUGGUAGGGUAAAGGCCUACCAAGGCUACGAUCAGUAGCUGGUCUGAGAGGAUGAUCAGCCACACUGGGACUGAGACACGGCCCAGACUCCUACGGGAGGCAGCAGUAGGGAAUCUUGCGCAAUGGGCGAAAGCCUGACGCAGCCAUGCCGCGUGAAUGAUGAAGGUCUUAGGAUUGUAAAAUUCUUUCAGCGGGACGAUAAUGACGGUACCCGCAGAAGAAGCCCCGGCUAACUUCGCGCCAGCAGCCGC
rnacentral:rRNA from 1 species